AAUCGGGCGGUUCGCGCAUGCGCAAUAAUACGACUAAGUGUCAGAUGUUGAAAUAAAAAUCUUUUAAUUUGAAUAACACAUAUUUAUUAAAGUACACGUUGUUCAGUUUAUAAAGAUGUCUAAGCUGGAACAAAUAUUGAAGAUUGAGCCGAAUACCGAGUUGCUGUUCAAAGGUCCAUUCACUGAAGUGGUCACAGCAGACCUUCAUUUGAGGAACCCUUCUGACAAGAGGGUAUGUUUCAAAGUGAAGACCACUGCCCCAAAACGGUACUGUGUCAGACCAAACAGUGGCAUCAUCGAACCAAGGCAGUCUGUCACUGUCGCUGUAAUGCUGCAGCCGUUUGACUAUGACCCGACAGAGAAGAACAAGCACAAGUUCAUGGUGCAAACCAUGUUUGCCCCUGAUGGGAAGAUUGACAACCAGGACCAGCUGUGGAGAGAUGUGUCCCCAGAUAAGCUGAUGGACUCAAAGCUGAAAUGUGUGCUUGAUCCAACUGGUAACUCUGUGGCCUCAUCGCCUGCACCUAUUAAAGAGGAAAAGGUAAAUCCAGUAAAGAUGGAGCCAGUAAGAAAAGAACCUGUCAAACUUAUGGGGCAGGAAGAGCCCCCUAUUGUGUCAGCUAAAAAUACAAGUAGCACUGAGUCAAGUAGCCCGAGGGAAGAGGAUAAAAUUCAGCAAUAUAUUGAGGAGAUACGUCAGCUGAAAGCUGAGAAAAAGAGACUUGAAGAAAAUGAGGUUCGUUUACGGAAGGUAGCCAUAUCGGAUACAGUGUCCCAAACCCCAACGACUAUGCCUGGCAAUGUAGAAUCCACCAGCAGCGGUCUUCCACCUUACCUUUACCUGAUCAUUUGUCUAAUUAUUGGUGUCCUAAUUGGCAAGGUGAUUCUGUAGUUGCUUGAAUGUUCAAGCUGGUACGCCUGUAUGUGAACUUUACAAACUGAUGCGAUUGUUGUUUAAACAAAAAAGAGCUUCUGCAGUUUAAGAGUUUACUGUUCUAUCUAUUUAUGGAUUUUACAAAACUUGUUCUUUUAGGGUGAUGCCCAUAGUGCAAUUGUUGAUAGCUUAUUUCAUACACAGAAAUGUACAUAUACUAAUAAAAUGCACUCCAAGCUAAUCUAUAAGAAUAUAAUAUGUGGCUGCUUUCUUUAUUUAUUGGUAGUUGGUCAGAUGUAUACUUGUAAUACUGCACUAGAAAUCACCUCAAGCUUAUAAUUAUGAAUAUUUUGUAAACGAAAAACUUGCAGCUUUCUUUAUUAAUUGGUGUUCUUUAUAAAUUUGUUCAUAUUAAAGCUGAGCAUCAAAAUACAUAAUAAAUUGGGGCCAUUGAAAGCUGCGUACAUAAGUGUGCAAGCUUGCUUACUGUUUUAAAAGUUUCGUCUUUGUUAUUAGGUGUACAAAUUUAAAUAGAAUGUAAAUAUUUAUGUUCAAUAGGGGACAUAUGUCCGUCAAACAAGCCUGGGAUGAUAAUUUUCAUAAAACAAUUACAAAAUACAUUUAAAGAGUGAAAAACAUGGAAAGAGUUAUUACAAUACGUCCACUUAAUCAACAAAAUUCUAAGGGGUGUGGAAAGGUUAGCCCUGAGUUGUCUCACAUCGAUAAAGUUUGUAAAUUAACUGUCCAACAUGAAAACUGUACCUGAAAAAGUUUGUUUAGGUUGCAAAUUCAUUAUCAUGUCACAAAUUUCCACAUUUUUAUGUCCCCCACCACUAUAGUGGGGGACAUAUUGUUUUUGCCCUGUCUGUUGGUUUGUUGCUUUGUGUGUUUGUUUGUUUGCGUCAAACUUUAACAUUUGCCAUAACUUUUGCAAUAUUGAAGAUAGCAACUUGAUACAUGUAUUUGGCAUGCAUGUGUAUCUCAUGGAGCUGCACAUUUUGAGUGGUGAAAGGUAAAGGUCAUCCCUCAAGGUCAAAGGUCAAAUAUAUGGGGACAUAGUGUUUCACAAACACAUCUUGUUUUGACAGCAAUUACACAUUGUUAUUUCUUAACAAUUUAUUUUUAGCUCACUUGAGCACAACGUGCUCAUGGUGAGCUUUUGUGAUGGCUUUUUGUCUGUCGUGUGUCGUCCGUCGUCAACAUUUUGCCUUGGGAACACUCUAGAGGCCACAUUUAUUGUCUGAUCUUCAUGAAAUUUGGUCAGAACAUUUGUCCCAUUGGUACCUCGACUGAGUUCGAAACUGAGUCAUGCUGGGUCAAAAACUAGGUCACUAGGUCAAAAAUAGAAAAACCUUGUGAACACUGUAGAAGUCAAAUUUUAUAUCCAAUCUUCAUGUAACUUUGUCAAAGUGGUUGUCUAAAUGAUAUGUUGAUUGAGUUCAAAAAUGGUUCCGGUCCGUUGAAAAACAUGGUCGCCAGGGGGGCGGGGCAGUAUUCCUUAUAUGGCUAUAGAGAAACCUUGUGAACACUCUAAAAGUCAAAAUGUUUGCCCAAUCAUCAUGAAACUUGGUCAAAAGAUUGGUUUUAUUGAUAUCUCGGCCAAGUUCGAAAAUGGUCCAGAUCGGUGAAAAAACAUGGCCGCUAGGGGGCGGGGCAGUAUUCCUUAUAUGGCUAUAGAGAAACCUUGUGAAGACUCUAGAAGUCACAAUAUUUGCCCAAUCAUCAUGAAACUUGGUCAAAACAUUGGUUUUGUUGAUAUCUCGGAAGAGUUUGAAAAUGGUCCAGAUCGGUGAAAAAGCGUGGCUGCCAGGAGGCGGGGCAGUUUCCUUAUAUGGCUUUAGUAAAACCUUGUUAACACUCUAGAGGCCACAUUUAUUGUCCAAUCUUCAUGAAAUUUGGUCAGAAGAUUUGUCUCAAUGAUAUCUUGGAUGAGGUCGAAAAUGGUUACGUUUGCUUGAAAAACAUGGCUGCCAAGGGGCAGGGCAUUUUUCCUUAUAUGGCUAUAUAUGGCUAUAGUAAAAUCUUGUUAACACUCUAGAGGCCACAUUUAUUGUCCGAUCUUUAUGAAACUUGGUCAGAAGAUUCAUCCCAAUAAUAUUUGGGACGAGUUAAAAAAUGAUGGCGGUUGGUUGAAAAAACAUGGCCGCCAGGGGGCGGGGCAUUUUUCCUUAUAUGGCUAUAGUAAAACCUUGUUAACACUCUAGAGGCCACAUUUAUUGUCCAAUCUUGAUGAAAUUUGGUUACAAGAUUUGUCUUAAUGAUAUCUUGAAUGAGUUCGAAAAUGGUUUUGGUUGCUUAAAAAACAUGGACGCCAAGGGGCGGGGCAUUUUUCCUAAUACAGUAGACUCUCUGUAAACCGGACGGUCUGGGGACCGGCGUGAUCGUCUGGUUUUCAGAGAGUUCCGGUUUACUAAGAGUAUGCAUAUUGCCGAAAUAUACAUUGUAUGCAUUGUGUACAAAAUCAUAUAAGAAUAAAACAAACCAUAUACAUUUUCAUGUACCAUGUGAUAACUGUACAACUGUAAGGUUAAUGUUUUAAGCAUUCUUCAAAAAAUGUGUUUUUAUUCGAUUAAUAGCAAAAAACAUUCCAUACCGACUUGUUUUGAUUAAUCCCAAUGUGAGUGUGGUGCUUUAUACAUGUACAUACGUGACAUUUGUCAUAUAGGCGAGGAGUCGUGUUCGAGUUCGCUAUAAAUAGCUCUGAAUUAAUUUAACCUCAAAGACAAUUUUGACGAAUAACGGUUUGAGAAGACUUGUAGAUUUGAGACUAUUUAUGCUGAAGAUGCGUUUGAAAUUAAGAAAAGGCAAUGAAUGAAUUUGCAGACAGAUAGAUGGAUAUUUAACGGUCAUAUUUCUCACAGUUUUAUCUAACAAACAAACAAACAUCCAUUUUAGCGUUAAAAACAUGGCUAUAAGAUCUUUUAAACUACCCGAGAAGAUCACAAGAAAGUGAUUGUCACAACGGAAUGCAUUAAUUUUGUAAUUAAAUUGUUUAUCAUAAGCUUUAUAAAACGAUCGAGGCAAUCACUUUUUGGUGUUACCGCACGUCUAUAAUAGACAUUCACAGUUUGUUUUACAUUAUUUAAUCGGACUUCUUUAGCGCAGUAACGACUUGACACCUUUAUGGUAUGUUUAAUCCGAUUAUCGAUGAUUGCGCGAGCAAUAUGUGUGACACCGCACGCGCUGUGCUGACUAGGUAUUGUAAUUUUCACGCCUCGGGCAUCUUGAGAAUUUGGACCGUCCGGUGUACUCAAUGUAUUUUACGUUGAAAAUGACCUAAUUCACGGAGAUAUCCGUUCAGUUUCCGGUUUUGAGAGAGUUCGGUUUAUACAACAUUUUUUAUCAAAGAAAUAGUAGAAAAUACGGGACUGGCCCGACCAUUCGGAAUUGGGAGAGUUACGGUAUUCAGAGAGUCCUGUAUUGGCAGAGUCUACUGUAUAGCUAUAUAUCAUGCUUUUGUAAAACCUUGUUAACACUCUAGAGGCAACAUUUAUUGUCCGAUCAUCAUGAAACUUGGUCAGAUAAUUUGUCUCAAUGAUAUCUUGGAUGAGUUCGAAAAUGGUUGCGGUUGGUGGAAAAACAUGACCACCAAGAGGGUGUGGCAUUUUUCCUUAUAUAGCUAUAGUUAAACCUUGUUAACACUCUAAAAGCCGUAUUUAUUGUACGAUCAUCAUGAAACUUGGUAAAAACAUUUGUCCCACUGAUAUUUUGGACAAGUUCGAAAAUGGUUCCAGUUGCUUGAAAAACAUGGCCACUAGUGGGCAGGGCAUUUUUAGCUCACCUGAGCACAACGUGCUCAUGGUGAGCUUUUGUAAUCGUCUUUUGUCCGUCGUGCGUUGUCCGUUGUGCGACGUCAACAUUUGCCUUGUUCACUCUCUAUGCCACAUUUUUUGUCCAAUCUUCAUGAAAUUUGGUCAGAAGAUUGGUUUUAAUUAUAUAUUGGAUGAGUUCGAAAAUGGUUACGUUUGCUUGAAAAACAUGGCUGCAAAGGGGCAGGGCAUUUGUCCUUAUAUGGCUAUUGUAAAAUCUUGUUAACACUCUAGAGGCCACAUUUAUUGUCUGAUCUUCAUGAAACUUGGUCAGAAGAUUCAUCCCAAUAAUAUCUGGGGCGAGUUUAAAAAUGAUGCCGGUUGGUUGAAAAACAUGGCUGCCAGGGGGCGGGGCAUUUUUCCUUAUAUAGCUAUAGUAAAACCUUGUUAACACUCUAGAGGCCACAUUUAUUUUCCGAUCUUCAUGAAACUUGCUCAGAAGAUUUGUCCCACUGAUAUCUUUGAUGAGUUCAAAAAUGGUAACCUUUGCUUGAAAAACAUGGCUGCCAAGGGGCGGGGCAUUUUUACUUAAAUGGCUACAUGUAUAAUAUGGCUAUAGUAAAAUCUUGUUUACACUCUAUAGGUCACAUUUAUUUUCCGAUCAUCAUGAAAUUUGGUCAGAAGAUUGGUUUCAAUGAUAUCUUGGAUGAGUUCGAAAAUGGUUACGUUUGCUUGAAAAACAUGGCUGCCAAGGGGCGGGGCAUUUUUCCUAAUAUGGCUAUAGUAAAAUCUUGUUCACACUCUAGAGGCCACAUUUAUUGUCCAAUCUUCAUGAAAUUUGGUCAGAAGAUUCAUCCCGAUAAUAUCUUGGAUGAGUUCAAAAAUGAUGCUGGUUGGUUGAAAAACAUGGCUGCCAGGGGGCGGGGCAUUUUUCCUUAUAUGGCUAUAGUAAAACCUUGUUAACACUCUAGAAGCCACAUUUAUUUUCCGAUCUUCGUGAAACUUGGUCAGAAGAUUUGUCCCAAUAAUAUCUUGUUAUCUCAGGUGAGCAAUUUUGGGCCUUUCAGGCCCUCUUGUUCCUUAUAUGGACUUAUGAAUCGUCAUGAAACUUUGUCAGUAUAUUUGUUUAAAUGAUAUCUUGGAUGUGUAUGAAAAUGGUUCUGGUCUGUUGAAAAAAGUGGCUGCCAGAGUGUUCACUAGUCAUGAAAGUUGGUAAGAACAUUUUGUUCUAAUGACAUCUUGGGCUGCACAGAACAGGUCAGUUUCUUUGAAUCUCAGGUGAGCGACUUUGGGCCUUUCAGGGCCUCUUGUUUCUUUAGUUAAUUAUAAAGGAAUGACUGAUACAAAACUACUUUUAUUUCAACAUUUUACUUUUCCUUGUUAAAACAUAAGAUUUGUCUAUGGAACAAGUUUGUAGUUUGGAUAUUUCCAUUUCCUGUAACUGUUGUCUUUUCUUUUAGACAUAUCUUUUAUUGGUUUAAUGUGUUUAUGAACAAAAGUAAUUAUUUAUUUUACUCCAUUAAAUGGUGAAAACAAAUCAUGUGUUUUACCAAGAUGAGUCAUCUUUGUGUACAACACAUUUUGAUAUAUCCGAUUAUUCUAGCUGGAUUCGUAGGUGUUGAUUGAUGUUCAUAAACUUGUUCAUUGCGUUUUGUGUACACCUAUGUAACAAUAUGUGAAGGGGAAGAUGUUGUCAUAGUUGUUAUGCAUAAUUUGCUUUUAAUAUUUAUACUAUUCAUGUAUGUAUAUAACUGUGUAUAGGAUACGCACACAUGUUUGCAGGUAUGUGGUAUACUAGUAUAUGGCACACAUGUGCAUUCAUUGCAUACACCCCAUACAGAUUUUUGUACUGUUUGAUUGAUGAUGUUCAUGUUGUAUAUUAAUCAUAAAAUUCCAUCUGUCGUAUGUUUUACUGUGAGAUUAAUCUUAUGUAUUCAGGAUGUUAACAAAUAACUGUCUGGUAAAAGACAUGCUCGUGAACUUAAAAAAUAUUGUUUUGACUGUCGGGUUAACUCUUUGUUGUUGUCAAAAACUACGAGUCAUACUUAGCCGACAUGUCACCAUCUUGAAAUAUUACAAACUGAAAAAUGGAUUAUAAUUACUUAUCUAUUCAAGUUUCUUUCCUCAUUUACAAUUUACAUGUUAUUGUCAUUGUGGUUCCCCUAAAAUUUAACUGUGUUUACAUGACGUACAGAUAUGGGCUUUGACAUUUAUUUUCAUAUAAAAACAGGUGAUAUAUGCCACCAUAAGAAGGCAUCAUAUAGCAGUUGCUCUGUCCGACUGUAUCUCUUUAUGAAUGUCAACCAUGGCAAUAUAAAACUGCAUGUAGUGUGUAAUAUCUCCCUUAAUCAAAGGACAUGGUUGCAUGUAGAGGUCAGACUUGGCUGUUAUACAGCUGGUAAAUUCCUGUCUCAGCCAUUACUUUGCUGUAUACUGAAGGAAUUUUAAACAAUUCGGCACAAAUGCAGUCCAUCAUAAGACAAUCUGAUCCAUGUAACGCAUGUAUCCACUUCCUUAAAUGUCAAGGUCUAAUGUCGUAAAACAGCUUGUUUCGACUGUAAUUUUGGCAUUUGUCAAGCUAUUUUGAAAUAACUCAAUACUAAUAACCAUCAUAAUGAGGUUUUUUGUGUGUCUAAAAAGUUAUUAUACAUGUCUACCCUCCUCAGAGGUCAAGAUAACAUUUAGAGGUCAAAGGUUAAAUUAAGCCGUAAAAAUGCUUUUCCUGGCUGUAACUCUGUCUGUCAAAAUAACUUGCCACAAAUGACUGUCAAUAGGAGACUUAUCCUCGCAUGUAUCAUCUGACUCUUGGCCUCAAUGAUCAAGGUCACACUCCAGGGAUUAAAAUUUAAAAAAUCCAUAAAUAACUUGUUAAUGACAUCAAUAAGGUUUUGGGACAAAGGUGGGAUGUGUGGGUAUUUGUGCCUAAUGGACACUGUGUUGUUUAUUUAUCUUUUCACAUAAGAUUUUAGCAGUGCAUGUAAUUGCAUUUAUAAACGGACUAAAAAUGAAAGAAAUGUUGUAUAGGUGUUAAUAAUGGAUGGUAUGCUUGAUUAAUGUAUUAUUUGUGUUUUCACUUGAUGAGAGUUUUGUUGACUUAUUGAGUGCUUAGUAUGGGUCACAAUAGGUGUUUCCUAACACUAGGUAACUUCCUAUGUGUAAUAACAAGUGAUGUCCCCUGUUCUUUUUCGGUGACUUGUUGUUAAUUUUGAAGCAUACUGACAUACCAAAUAUUUAUUGAUAAAUACUAGAGCAAGCAUCCACAUGUAUGAUUUUGAGGGGGUUAUCUCGUAACAAAGAAUUUGUAAAAGAAAUAUUAUUUUAGUGUUUUAUUUAACCCCAACAUUAUGACUUUGAAAUAUUCAUGAUGCUGAGCUACAGUAUAUCAAUAAUCUGUUUAAAAAAACAUGUGACACAGACUAAUAAAUGCAUGGUACUAGGCUUGCAAAGUCACUUACUCUAAUCUUUUCUCAUCUCUGUUAACUCACUCGUACAACUGUAUAAGGUUGGAAAUUGAUGUUGUUAGUUCAUUCAUUAAGUAUCAAAUAGCAAAUAAAUUAUUUUUAAUAAUUUUAUCACAAUUGUUGUUGUUGAAAGACACAUUCAACCUGUUUCUUGCAAUUAAUAGCAACAUUAUUUAAAUGAACAAUUCGGAAAAAGAGUCCCUGCAAGUUGAUUAUGAACUAUGGGUAAUGACUGAAUAUUCAAGGGAAAUCAGCUUGUAUUUGGAAAGGCGUGUUAUAUUUAAUUUUAAUUGUAAACCCAUGAUAUUCAAGAACAAGUAUUAAUGUAUAAAAAAACAUCCACUUCUCUCCCUGAAUUAUGCAUUUUUAACCAAGCAUUUUAUUAACUUGUCUGAUAGUUCUUUUCAACUUUUGUUUGUGUGCAGCUUAUUAUGUUAUGUUCUUGUGUUAUUUUUUUAAAGAAAGAAUAGUUUAGUAUAAUUGAAUAAUAUUUGUGUUCACUUGUUGUUUCUCUAAAAUAUGCUGAUACUAUUGGUUAUGCUUGUUUUUGUCUUGAGAGUAUGCAGGCAUUUAUGUUAAGGUGUACGUGGUUGUAUUAGAUUUGCAGAAACCUUUGUUAAAAUAGUUCAAACAUUAUGCAGUGAUUAACUGGAAAAUAUUUUUAUUUUAUCACUGUUUUUACUUUAUUAGUAAUAACACAGUACCAAAUAUCAUGUGUUUAUAGAUGAAUGAAAGGCAUAUUCCUUCCAUCAGAUUCAUGAAUGUUGAAAGUCAAUGCUUAAUCAAGUAAUCAUGGUCAUAACACAGAUUCCCUAAAUGUUUAGUUCUAGCUUUACAACUUUCUUUUCCAAAGCAGAUUUUUGUUUUCACAGUUGUGAUAUGAAUAGUGUUUUAUACACAUUGGAUUUUCUUUAAAAUUUAAGCAUCAUUUUGUUCAUAUUGAAAUUCAGCUGUUUUCGUUUAAAUAUCUUUGUUUUGUAGCUUUCACAUAAUUGUUGUUUUUAUUGUGAAAUGAAACAUUUUCCCAAACUAGAUUUCAAUAAACUAUUACUGUUUAUUCAUA